UACGGAGGGUGCAAGCGUUAUCCGGAUUUACUGGGCGUAAAGGGCGCGUAGGCGGUCAGCACAAGUCAGUUGUGAAAUCUCCGGGCUUAACUCGGAAAGGUCAACUGAUACUGUGCGACUAGAGUGCGGAAGGGGCAACUGGAAUUCUCGGUGUAGCGGUGAAAUGCGUAGAUAUCGAGAGGAACACCUGCGGCGAAGGCGGGUUGCUGGGCCGACACUGACGCUGAUGCGCGAAAGCCAGGGGAGCGAACGGG
rnacentral:rRNA from 1 species